rnacentral:misc_RNA from 1 species
AACUUGUGACAACGGAUCACUUGGCUCUCGCAUCGAUGAAGAACGCAGCGAAUUGCGAUAAGUAAUGUGAAUUGCAGAUUUUCAGUGAAUCAUCGAAUCUUUGAACGCACCUUGCGCCCUUUGGUUAUUCCGAAGGGCAUGCCUGUUUGAGUAUCGUGAACACCUCAACUCUCACGGUCUGCCGUGAUGAGCUUGGAUUUUGGGGGUCUUGCUGGCCUAUGGUCGGCUCCUCUCAAAUGAAUCAGCUUGCCAGUGUUUGGUGGCAUCACAGGUGUGAUAACUAUCUAUGCUUGUGGUUUUCCACCAGGUAACCUCCAGCAAUGGAGGUUCGCUGGAGCUCAUAAAUGUCCCUCCUCAGCGAGGACAGCUUUUGAACGUUUGAUCUCAAAUCAGGUAGGACUACCCGCUGAACUUAAGCAUAUCAAUAAGCGGAGGCU